rnacentral:rRNA from 1 species
UACGUAGGGUGCAAGCGUUGUCCGGAAUUAUUGGGCGUAAAGAGCUCGUAGGCGGUCUGUCGCGUCGGCUGUGAAAACCCGGAGCUCAACUCCGGGCCUGCAGUCGAUACGGGCAAACUGGAGUGUUGCAGGGGAGACUGGAAUUCCUGGUGUAGCGGUGAAAUGCGCAGAUAUCAGGAGGAACACCGGAGUGGAAGGCGGGAUCUCUGGGCCUAACCAUGACGCG